GGGCGUUUAGCUCAGCUGGCUAGAGCACCAGCUCGACAAGCUGGGGGUCGCAGGUUCAAGUCCCGCAACGCCCACCA
rnacentral:tRNA from 1 species